GACGAACGCUGGCGGCGUGCUUAACACAUGCAAGUCGAACGGAAAGGCCCUGCUUUUGUGGGGUGCUCGAGUGGCGAACGGGUGAGUAACACGUGAGUAACCUGCCCUUGACUUUGGGAUAACUUCAGGAAACUGGGGCUAAUACCGGAUAGGAGCUCCUGCUGCAUGGUGGGGGUUGGAAAGUUUCGGCGGUUGGGGAUGGACUCGCGGCUUGUCAGCUUGUUGGUGGGGUAGUGGCUUACCAAGGCUUUGACGGGUAGCCGGCCUGAGAGGGUGACCGGCCACAUUGGGACUGAGAUACGGCCCAGACUCCUACGGGAGGCAGCAGUGGGGAAUAUUGCACAAUGGGCGGAAGCCUGAUGCAGCAACGCCGCGUGCGGGAUGAAGGCCUUUGGGUUGUAAACCGCUUUCGCCUGUGACGAAGCGUGAGUGACGGUAAUGGGUAAAGAAGCACCGGCUAACUACGUG
rnacentral:rRNA from 1 species